rnacentral:rRNA from 1 species
AACGAACGCUGGCGGCAGGCUUAACACAUGCAAGUCGAACGCCCCGCAAGGGGAGUGGCAGACGGGUGAGUAACGCGUGGGAAUCUACCUAGUUCUACGGAACAACUGAGGGAAACUUCAGCUAAUACCGAAUACGCCCUAAGGGGGAAAGAUUUAUCGGAAUUAGAUGAGCCCGCGUUGGAUUAGCUAGUUGGUGGGGUAAUGGCCUACCAAGGCGACGAUCUAUAGCUGGUCUGAGAGGAUGAUCAGCCACACUGGGACUGAGACACGGCCCAGACUCCUACGGGAGGCAGCAGUGGGGAAUAUUGGACAAUGGGCGCAAGCCUGAUCCAGCCAUGCCGCGUGAGUGAUGAAGGCCUUAGGGUUGUAAAGCUCUUUCAGUGGGGACGAUAAUGACGGUACCCACAAAAGAAGCCACGGCUAACUUCGUGCCAGCCGCCGCCGUAAAAC